rnacentral:miRNA from 1 species
UCUACACUCAUACGGCUCUCA